rnacentral:misc_RNA from 1 species
UGUCCAGAGGCUGCAUCCUCA